GAUGAACGCUGGCUGUGUGCCUAAUACAUGCAUGUCGAACGAAGCACUUGUGCUUAGUGGCGAAUGGGUGAGUAACACGUACUUAAUCUACCUCUAGGUUUGGGACAACAAUUGGAAACGAUUGCUAAUACCGAAUAUUCCUUUUAAUCGCAUGAUUAAUUGGUAAAAGGUCCGUUUGGAUCGCUAAGAGAUGAGAGUGCGGUACAUUAGUUAGUUGGUAGGGUAAUGGCCUACCAAGACGAUGAUGUAUAGCGGGGUUGAGAAGCUGAACCGCCACACUGGGACUGAGAUACGGCCCAGACUCCUACGGGAGGCAGCAGUAGGGAAUAUUCCACAAUGAGCGAAAGCUUGAUGGAGCGACACAGCGUGCAGGAUGAAGGUCUUCGGAUUGUAAACUGCUGUUAUAAGGGAAGAAAAACCGGUGUAGGAAAUGACAUCGGCUUGACGGUACCUUAUCAGAAAGCACCGGCAAACUAUGUGCCAGCCGCCGCGGUAAG
rnacentral:rRNA from 1 species